AAGCUCGUAGUUGAAUUUCGGCAUCUAUAGGUCGGUCAUGCCUAUGGUAUGUACUGGCUUUACUGGUUCCUCCUUCUUGAUGGUCUGUAAUGUCAUUAAUUUGGUGUUGCAGGGAGUCAGGACUGUUACUUUGAAAAAAUUAGAGUGUUUAAAGCAGGCAUACGCUUGAAUACAUUAGCAUGGAAUAAUGAAAUAGGACGUUCGAUCCUAUUUUGUUGGUUUCUAGGAUCGACGUAAUGAUUAAUAGGGAUAGUUGGGGGCAUUAGUAUUCAAUUGUCAGAGGUGAAAUUCUUGGAUUUAUUGAAGACUAACUACUGCGAAAGCAUUUGCCAAGGAUGUUUUCAUUAAUCAAGAACGAAAGUUAGGGGAUCGAAGACGAUCAGAUACCGUCGUAGUCUUAACCAUAAACUAUGCCGACUAGGGAUCGGAUGAUGUUAUUUUUAAUGACUCAUUCGGCGCCUUACGGGAAACCAAAGUGUUUGGGUUCCGGGGGGAGUAUGGUCGCAAGGCUGAAACUUAAAGGAAUUGACGGAAGGGCACCACCAGGAGUGGAGCCUGCGGCUUAAUUUGACUCAACACGGGGAAA
rnacentral:rRNA from 1 species